rnacentral:rRNA from 1 species
AGUGAACGCUGGCGGUAGGCCUAACACAUGCAAGUCGAACGGCAGCACAGUAAGAGCUUGCUCUUACGGGUGGCGAGUGGCGGACGGGUGAGGAAUACAUCGGAAUCUACUUUUUCGUGGGGGAUAACGUAGGGAAACUUACGCUAAUACCGCAUACGACCUACGGGUGAAAGCAGGGGAUCUUCGGACCUUGCGCGAUUGAAUGAGCCGAUGUCGGAUUAGCUAGUUGGCGGGGUAAAGGCCCACCAAGGCGACGAUCCGUAGCUGGUCUGAGAGGAUGAUCAGCCACACUGGAACUGAGACACGGUCCAGACUCCGACGGGAGGCAGCAGUGGGGAAUAUUGGACAAUGGGCGAAAGCCUGAUCCAGCCAUACCGCGUGGGUGAAGAAGGCCUUCGGGUUGUAAAGCCCUUUUGUUGGGAAAGAAAAGCAGCAGGUUAAUACCCCGCUGUUCUGACGGUACCCAAAGAAUAAGCACCGGCUAACUUCGUG